UACGGGGGGGGCAAGCGUUGUUCGGAAUUACUGGGCGUAAAGGGCUCGUAGGCGGCCAACUAAGUCAGACGUGAAAUCCCUCGGCUUAACCGGGGAACUGCGUCUGAUACUGGAUGGCUUGAGUUCGGGAGAGGGAUGCGGAAUUCCAGGUGUAGCGGUGAAAUGCGUAGAUAUCUGGAGGAACACGGUGGCGAAGGCGGCGAUCCUGGACCGACACUGACGCUGAGGAGCGAAAGCCAGGGGAGCAAAACGGGG
rnacentral:rRNA from 1 species